rnacentral:rRNA from 1 species
UACCAGCACCCCGAGUGGUCGGGACGAUUAUUGGGCCUAAAGCAUCCGUAGCCGGUUUUACAAGUCCUCCGUUAAAUCCAGCUGCUUAACAGAUGGGCUGCGGAGGAUACUAUAAGACUAGGAGGCAGGAGAGGCAAGCGGUACUCAGUGGGUAGGGGUAAAAUCCGUUGAUCCAUUGAAGACCACCAGUGGCGAAGGCGGCUUGCCAGAACGCACUCGACGGUGAGGGAUGAAAGCUGGGGGAGCAAAC